rnacentral:lncRNA from 1 species
GCUCUGCCUGUACUCAGGGCAUCUCCUCUGACAGAGAGUGGCUGAGGAAAUUCUUUGGACCUUUCACUGCUUACAGCUCCUAUUCAGAUUUCACUGCAUUGAAGAGCAACUUCCGCGGGGUGAGAGUUUUGUGCCUUUGCAAUCUUGGGGUCAAAUUAGACAAUACACUUUAGCCCGUAUUCGGAAGGGGUGCUGUCUUCAGUGGUGAAAGAGGUCUGUUUGUCAUAGCAAAUGAUUAACUUUGCCUCUAUAUCUUGCAUUUGAGCUUGAGCUUGACUUUGACCUUCCGUUCUGUGCUUCUCCAUCCAGGCAGACUCUCUGGAUCUCUUCUCCGCAAAGGCCUUGGCUCAUUUCUCCACCCAAAGCCACACCAUCUACAGCAGGGCAGCCGUGGAGCGCGUCUUCCGCGUCAUCCAAGACAAGGCAGACCCAGGCCCUUUCUUGAGGGCCUAUCUGGAUGAGUUCAAUGCCCUGGUGCUCCAGAACCGUGGUUUGUUGAGCAACAGAAAGGUGAGGGACGCCAUGCUGAUGUUUUCUGCUGAGAUCAUUUUCCCACAAGUUGCUGUGAUUUCCCUGGAAGACACCACCACCUGGUUCCAGAAACUCGAUCUCCUGCUUCCGGGCAUAAACGAAACCAUGCUGGGUUUGUUGCCCCUUGGUAUGCCCUGCCCUUAUUACCAAACCAUAGUGAAAGGACUUGAUAGUGUCUAUUCCAAGCUGUCAGCCCGGAAGAGGCAGGACGUCUACGAAUUCCAGAAGGCCUACUUGACGGCUCAGUUUGCAGACUCAGGGUCAGCGUGUGAGGAUGGGGCUACCAGAAUCCGGGACUGGCUGAUGAAGAAUUUGGGGGAGUUUUGUUCGGUAGCCAAACUAAGCGAGCUGCAAGCUUUUUACCCUGAUCUUGAGGAAACGGAGAAACUGCCUGCUCUCCACCCAGCACAGGUGGACGACUCAACUGCUGUUGGGCUGAUCAAGAGCUUGGGAGACUAUGAUUCCCUCCGUGACAGCUUGUCCAGGCUGACAAAGACCCCGUGCCAGAGCACCAAGCCUCCUCCAGUCCCGCCUCUGUGCGGUGGACCUUCUGCCCUGGGGGUUCUCGACCCUGAAACACAGCAAGAACUCUUAGACCACGUGCUGCUCUUCCUUAAGAGAGAAAGGCGCUCCAUGAAGGCCUCCCAGUGGGCUGAGAUCUACCACCUUUUGCUCUCCACUUUCCUGCCUCUUCUCGGUACAUCUCCUCUCUCCCGAAAUAAUUCCAGGGUGGUGUGCAAGACCUUCUAUGCCACGUAAGUCAACCGUUCUGGAAGGAAAGGGGGCCCAAGGGAAGGCCAUCUUCGGGACGGUACCUGGAAUGGGUCACUUUCUCCAUCAAACAUCCCUCUCCAUAGGUUGCCCCCGAACCAGAGAGGAUCCCAGCUCUUCGGCCUGAACCGUUCUAUUUCACAACAGUAGUCUGUUCUGUUUUAAGACUCCCUCUGCAGACAGAGGGAGGAGAGCCAAGGACAGGUGGAAGCCCAGGGCCUCGGAGAUCAUUCGAAAGCUCCCGCUCCAAAAGGGUAUCCUAAAAAGUCCUCAUUUCUCACCACAGAAUGAAAGAAAUCGCAGCUCUCCACCCCAGCCUCGCUCUACGCCAGGAAGAACUGGGAGCCGUCCAAGCCCUCUGCCAUCAGGGGGGUCGUCAACCCAACCCUACAGGUAAUUCUCACAGCUAUCGUCUACAAUCACACACACACACACACACACAGAGGUUGGGGGGGGCAAAGCAGUGAACUGGGAUACGAAGUGAGGGAAAGACGGCAGGGCGAGUUAUAGGGACUGCUCGGGAGAAGACCUUUGGAGGUCAACUGUGGCAGGGAAGAUAAGAGGCCUUGCUUUUGAAAGAAGCCCCUCCUCAUCCCAGGGGAUGAUGUAAGUUGUAGUCCGAAGCAUGUGACCAGGGAAGACCGCUCCGAGGCCAUAGCGGAGCAAUCCAGAGCGGGAGCAGAUUUAACUGUUCAUUUCCACUCCGCUGUGUUGUGCGUGGGAGACAGGUCUUCAGAACGGCUGAUGGAUGGAAAGUAUUCCUCGACGCCUGUUCCUCAGGUCGCAGACCUGGGUUUUGGGAUCUGAGCGGUGGUUUAUCAUUUUCUCAGCGAACAGGCAUUAUUGCAUGUGUCAUGAUGAUGGCUCCCCAGCUGA